UGGGUAACCUGCCUCAAAGAGGGGAAUAGCCUCCCGAAAGGGAGAUUAAUACCGCAUAAUAUGUUUAAGUCGCAUGACUUUAACAUCAAAGGAUUUUCUUUUAAGAAAUUCCACUUUGAGAUGGACCCGCGGCGCAUUAGCUAGUUGGUGAGGUAACGGCUCACCAAGGCAACGAUGCGUAGCCGACCUGAGAGGGUGAUCGGCCACAUUGGAACUGAGACACGGUCCAGACUCCGUAGGGAG
rnacentral:rRNA from 1 species